UGAAAAGUUCGUUUUCCUAAUCAACUUUUCUUCUUACGAGAUAUUUUACCUUUUCUUGCUUAGCCUUUUUCUUUAUAGCCUCUAUUUUUAGGUCCUCUUGUUGAUUGAAGUUCAUUUUUUGAAAAAAGGUCAAGCUUUGUUGAGUGAGGUAUGGAUGCUGAUCAAGAUGGGUAUGCUGAAUUUGCAGAGGGCAGGGAGACAAGGUACUAUAGUGCCACUACUGGAAUUGGUCUUGGCAAACAGAAUGUGGGCGAGCCUGAAAUGGGUUUUCAAGACAAAGUUAGAGAGUUCUUGAAGGGGGCAGCUGAAAUGAGUGUGCAAUUCGCUAAGGGGUGCAGGGAUGUUGUGGUGCAGAGUUUAGGAAGGGAAGAUUCCUUUAUUGUGCGGAAUUUUGGGAGAAGUUCUUAUAUAGGGAAG
rnacentral:misc_RNA from 1 species